GACGAACGCUGGCGGCGUGCCUAACACAUGCAAGUCGAGCGGAGCCAACUAAACAAUCCCUUCGGGGUGCGUUUGGGGAAGCUUAGCGGCGGACGGGUGAGUAACGCGCGAGUAACCUGCCCAUUAGUGGGGAAUAACACAGAGAAAUUUGUGCUAAUACCGCAUACUGAAUAUUUACCGCAUGAUAGAUAUUUGAAAGAUUUAUCGCUAAUGGAUGGACUCGCGUCUGAUUAGAUAGUUGGUGAGGUAACGGCUCACCAAGUCGACGAUCAGUAGCCGAACUGAGAGGUUGAUCGGCCGCAUUGGGACUGAUACACGGCCCAGACUCCUACGGGAGGCAGCAGUGGGGGAUAUUGCGCAAUGGGGGAAACCCUGACGCAGCAACGCCGCGUGCAGGAUGACGGCCUUCGGGUUGUAAACUGUUGUCGCAAGGGAAGAAUAAAUGACGGUACCUUGUGAGAAAGCCACGGCUAACUACGUGCCAGCAGCCGCGGUAACAC
rnacentral:rRNA from 1 species